GAGUUUGAUCAUGGCUCAGAUUGAACGCUGGCGGCAAGCCUAACACAUGCAAGUCGAACGGAAACGAUGCUAGCUUCCUAGCAGGCGUCGAGUGGCUGACGGGGGAGUAAUGCAUAGGAAUCUACCUAAUAGUGGGGGACAACCUGGUGAAAAACAGGCUGGCUAAUCGCAUAAUCCCUACGGGGCAAAGCAGGGGACCUUCGGGCCUUGCGCUAAUAGAUGAGCCUAUGUCGGAUUAGCUAGUUGGUGAGGUAAUGGCUCACCAAGGCGACGAUCCGUAGCUGGUUUGAGAGGAUGAUCAGCCACACUGGGACUGAGACACGGCCCAGACUCCUACGGGAGGCAGCAGUAGGGAAUAUUGCACAAUGGGCGAAAGCCUGAUGCAGCAAUGCCGCGUGUGUGAAGAAGGCCUGCGGGUUGUAAAGCACUUUCAGUAGGGAGGAAAAAGCAAUGCUAAUAACCAUUGUCUAAUGACGUUACCUACAGAAGAAGCACCGGCUAACUCUGUGCCAGCAGCCGCGGUAAUACAGAGGGUGCGAGCGUUAAUCGGAAUUACUGGGCGUAAAGAGUACGUAGGCGGUUAUUUAAGUCGGAUGUGAAAUCCCCGGGCUCAACCUGGGAAUUGCACUCGAAACUGGAUAACUAGAGUACAGCAGAGGAAAGUGGAAUUUCUAGUGUAGCGGUGAAAUGCGUAGAUAUUAGGAGGAACACCAGUGGCGAAGGCGACUUUCUGGACUGAUACUGACGCUGAGGUACGAAAGCGUGGGGAGCAAACAGGAUUAGAUACCCUGGUAGUCCACGCCCUAAACGAUGAGAACUAGCUGUUGGAGGAAUAUAAUCCUUUAGUAUCGUAGCUAACGCGAUAAGUUCUCCGCCUGGGGAGUACGGCCGCAAGGUUAAAACUCAAAUGAAUUGACGGGGGCCCGCACAAGCGGUGGAGCAUGUGGUUUAAUUCGAAUCAACGCGAAGAACCUUACCUACUCUUGACAUCCUCAGAACUUAGCAGAGAUGCUUUGGUGCCUUCGGGAACUGACUGACAGGAGCUGCAUGGCUGUCGUCAGCUCGUGUUGUGAAAUGUUCGGUUAAGUCCCGUAACGAGCGCAACCCUUGUCCUUAUUGCCAGCACGUAAUGGUGGGAACUCUAAGGAGACUGCCGGUGACAAACCGGAGGAAGGUGGGGACGACGUCAAGUCAUCAUGGCCCUUACGAGCGGGGCUACACACGUGCUACAAUGGCCAGGACAAACGGUUGCAACCCCGCGAGGGUGAGCUAAUCCGAGAAACCUGGUCGUAGUCCGGAUCGCAGUCUGCAACUCGACUGCGUGAAGUCGGAAUCGCUAGUAAUCGUGAAUCAGAAUGUCACGGUGAAUACGUUCCCGGGCCUUGUACACACCGCCCGUCACACCAUGGGAGUGGAUUGCACCAGAAGUAGCUAGCUUAACCUUCGGGAGGGCGGUUACCACGGUGUGGUUCAUGACUGGGGUGAAGUCGUAACAAGGUAACCCU
rnacentral:rRNA from 1 species